rnacentral:rRNA from 1 species
AACGCCGCGUGAGUGAAGAAGGUUUUCGGAUCGUAAAACUCUGUUGUUAGGGAAGAACACGUACGAGAGUAACUGCUCGUACCUUGACGGUACCUAACCAGAAAGCCACGGCUAACUACGUGCCAGCAGCCGCGGUAAUACGUAGGUGGCAAGCGUUGUCCGGAAUUAUUGGGCGUAAAGCGCGCGCAGGUGGUUCCUUAAGUCUGAUGUGAAAGCCCCCGGCUCAACCGGGGAGGGUCAUUGGAAACUGGGGAACUUGAGUGCAGGAGAGGAAAGUGGAAUUCCACGUGUAGCGGUGAAAUGCGUAGAUAUGUGGAGGAACACCAGUGGCGAAGGCGACUUUCUGGCCUGUAACUGACAUGAGGCGCGAAAGCGUGGGGAGCAAACAGGAUUAGAUACCCUGGUAUGCCACGCCGUAAACGAUGAGUGCUAAGUGUUGGGG